CUGAAGGCAAAGACUGAAUUCCUAACAAGCUCAGGAGGCUGAUGCUGCCCCACUGACCAAACUGAGCUGUGAUAUGAAAGACUAGAGGGAUGAAAGCAGGAGAGAAGGAAAGACGGAGGGGACUUCAGAAGGGCAAUGAAAGGACAUUUCUCAAGGAGUGAUAUUUCUAGGAUGCUUCCCUAAGAACAACAUUUAAAGGAAACCUUUCAGGGAUUUCCAGAAACAAGCGUGAAUAGUCUGCAGGUUUCUUAUGCGUGUUGGAAGGUCAAGCAACAGAUCCAAGGUCAUGCAGAAAAUGAGGCUCCCUUUUAAUUACCUGGAUUCUUCCUGGAUGGUUUCAAAAAUAAAUAGAUUCCAGGAAGCUGCACAAGAAUGAAGGCAUUACAAGAAUACCCAAGUUUCACA